rnacentral:rRNA from 1 species
UACGAAGGCCACGAGCGUUGUUCGGAAUUACUGGGCUUAAAGCGAGUGUAGGCGGUGGCAUAAGUCAGAUGUGAAAGCCCUGGGCUUAACCCGGGAACUGCAUUUGAUACUGUGUCGCUGGAGUGCGGUAGAGGAGAGUGGAAUUCCUGGUGUAGGAGUGAAAUCCGUAGAUAUCAGGAGGAAUACCAAUGGCGUAGGCAACUCUCUGGCCCGUUACUGACGCUGAGACUCGAAAGCGUGGGGAGCAAACAGG